CAGGACUACUCACUGGGAAGGUGGCUGGGCACUUGGGUAUUCAGGACUUGGAUAGGCCCCUAGACCAAGGGGACAACUCCAGCAGGGUCCCACCCAGGCACCACUGUACCUCUCUCUUCACUUUGGACCAUUUGAUACCUGUCCCUACCAACCCUCGACUUUCUGCCAGCAACCACAAAUCCCACGUGCCCCUGGAAAGCCUGCCCAGUCAGUCUUACACCAGGGUCUGGGGCCAGCUGUCACCUGGACCAGGAAAACCAAGAAGCUCUAGUGAAACACCCA